rnacentral:lncRNA from 1 species
CUAAUUCUCGUGUCCUUGCAUGGAGGACGUGUAAGUAAGAGAGUCGCUUAUAGGCUAGGGGCCUCUCACUAGGUUGAUGCAUGCAAGCAUGUGCCACACGAGCACCAGGCUACUGUGCGCAAGCAUGGGUCGUGCACGCAUUGAGCUGAUGUGAGUAGGCAUUUGCAGCACAACUAUUGGACUCAAUACAUUAGGCUGCCACGCACUG